GCCAAAUGAUCGUGAAUUUUUAUAGAAGAUAGACACUAUUUUAAAAAGCUUAAUUUUCAAAUUUGAACCCAUUAUGAUUUUGGGAAGUUCCAUUUUUGAAGAGAUCCUUAGAGAACCAUCAACGAACCAGGUUUUUAGAAGAAAAGACUACACUAUGGGCGUCCCUUAGUAGUCCUAAAGAUUUGGUCAUAUAUCUUGAUUCCCAAAACCAAAUGAGCUCAAAUUUUGAUAUGGUGCUCCUUGUCAUAAGCGCUUUCUAUCCAUACAAAUAUCAAAGGGGUUAAUAACACAGAUCAUAGUAGAUAAAAAAAAAUAAGUAUAGGAUUGAAAGUGGUGUAGCAGUUCUCAUGACCUUGAUCCACUUUUUGCCUCAUAUCUUACCAUUUGCAUAUAAGAUCUUCACUCAACCCUUAAUAACACCGAUCAUAGCAUAUCAAAGAAAUAACUAUGGGAUUGAAAGUGGUGUCAUAUGUGGCAAUCCCCAUGACCUUGAUCCACUUUUUGCCUCAUAUCUCACAAUAAGCUGAAAUUUUACAUAUAUGAUCUUCACUCAACCCCUCUAAACAUCCAUGUAAUUUGAUGUGGGGUUUUAAAUUGAAUUGUGGAUCAUAGAGAGAUGUUGCUCAAAAUAUG
rnacentral:lncRNA from 1 species